rnacentral:ncRNA from 1 species
GUAUUGCAUGAAAAGAGAGAUGUUUAGCACUUCUCUAGAUAAGAACACAUUUAAUGGUAGGCACCGUCAUUAUUUGACAACUCUUAUUCAAUAAAAUCUUUAU